AGUGAACGCUGGCGGUAGGCCUAACACAUGCAAGUCGAACGGCAGCACAGUAAGAGCUUGCUCUUACGGGUGGCGAGUGGCGGACGGGUGAGGAAUACAUCGGAAUCUACUUUUUCGUGGGGGAUAACGUAGGGAAACUUACGCUAAUACCGCAUACGACCUACGGGUGAAAGCAGGGGAUCUUCGGACCUUGCGCGAUUGAAUGAGCCGAUGUCGGAUUAGCUAGUUGGCGGGGUAAAGGCCCACCAAGGCGAAGAUCCGUAGCUGGUCUGAGAGGAUGGGCAGCCACACUGGAACUGAGACACGGUCCAGACUCCUACGGGAGGCAGCAGUGGGGAAUAUUGGACAAUGGACGCAAGCCUGAUCCAGCCAUACCGCGUGGGUGAAGAAGGCCUUCGGGUUGUAAAGCCCUUUUGUUGGGAAAGAAAAGCAGCAGGUUAAUACCCCGCUGUUCUGACGGUACCCAAAGAAGAAGCACCGGCUAACUUCGUG
rnacentral:rRNA from 1 species